rnacentral:rRNA from 1 species
UAGGGAAUCUUCGGCAAUGGGGGGAACCCUGACCGAGCAACGCCGCGUGAGUGAAGAAGGUUUUCGGAUCGUAAAGCUCUGUUGUUAAGGAAGAACGAGUGUGAGAAUGGAAAGUUCAUGCUGUGACGGUACUUAACCAGAAAGGGACGGCUAACUACGUGCCAGCAGCCGCGGUAAUACGUAGGUCCCGAGCGUUGUCCGGAUUUAUUGGGCGUAAAGCGAGCGCAGGCGGUUAGAAAAGUCUGAAGUGAAAGGCAGUGGCUCAAUCAUUGUAGGCUUUGGAAACUGUGUAACUGGAGUGCAGAAGGGGAGAGUGGAAUUCCAUGUGUAGCGGUGAAAUGCGUAGAAAUAUGGGCGAACACCGGUGGCGACAGCGGCUCUCUGGUCUGUAACUGACGCUGAGGCUCGAAAGCGUGGGGAGCGAACAGG